UCCAGGGAGAAACUCAAUCCACAAACGACUGGCUCGGAGGUCACCUCACCACCGCGAGAGCCGUGUUUGUUACAGCCGCUGGCUGCUCAGUUUUACAGCGCAGCCACAGCAGCUUGCUGCCGGCCCCGCCCUCGGUCCUCUGUCCUUGCCAAUUACCAUCGCCUCUGCUUCCCUUCGAGAGCUCUGAAACGGAGUGGGCGCGCUCCGGCACUGCCUACUGGCUAGCUCGCUAGCUGGUGGCGGAGGCGACAUCCAUGGCCGUUCUUUCUCUCAGGCUCGCCGGGACCGCCGGUUUCGCGUCUCUGCCUGCUUAUCCCGGCCGCCGCCGAGCUGCUGCCGGCAGCGGCAGGUUCGCCUUCUCCACCUCAUCCUGCCGGGCUGCCACGGGAGGACCCAGCCCGAUCACCAUCGCCGGGGACCCGCCCACGGUCGUGUCCGCGCCCGGCCGCCGCAUUGUCGCCAUUGGUGAUGUCCACGGCGAUCUCUACCAGACCAGAGCAGCGCUAAAGAUGGCCGGCGUACUGAGCGCGGAAUCAGAUGGCCAUGUGUGGACAGGCGGACGGACGGUACUCGUUCAAGUUGGGGAUAUCCUUGACCGCGGCGACGAUGAGAUUGCCAUACUCUCUCUUUUGAGUUCACUGAACGUGCAAGCGAAAUCUCAAGGGGGUGCUGUAUUUCAGGUCAACGGAAACCAUGAAACCAUGAAUGUGGAAGGUGAUUUCCGGUAUGUCGAUCCGGGAGGCUUUGAUGAGUGCAUACACUUUCUCGAGUACUUGGAUGAAUGUGAUGGCAAUUGGGAUGAUGCCUUUCUCAACUGGGUUAAUGUCGCUGAAAGGAGGAAGAAAGAAUAUGGAGCUUCACCGAAUGGUGACUGGCGUCCUUGGAACUUUGUCAAGAAGCAAAAAGGGUUUGCUGCAAGAACAUCGCUUUUCAAGCGAGGUGGCCCGUUAGCGUGUGAACUGGCACGGCAUCCUGUUGUCCUUAAUAUCAAUGAUUGGAUAUUUUGUCACGGUGGCCUUCUUCCUCAUCAUGUUGAAUACGGGGUCGAGCGUAUGAACAGAGAAGUAUCAAUGUGGAUGAAAUGUUCAGGUGAAGACAGUGAUGAUGAAACAGAUAUCCCCUUCAUAGCUACUAGAGGUUAUGACAGUGUGGUAUGGAGCCGUUUGUACUCGCAAGACCCUGCAGAAAGCACGCGCCGUUCUUUGAUGCUAUCUUCUGUUGUUGCUGAAGAAACUCUGAAAAUUUUGGGAGCCAAGGGGAUGGUCGUAGGGCACACGCCACAAACCCGUGGAGUGAAUUGCAAAUGCGAUGGCAAAGUUUGGUGUGUUGAUGUGGGCAUGUCUUAUGGUGUUCUCUACUCAAGACCGGAGGUCCUAGAAAUAGUCAAUGACAGACCAAGGGUUUUGAAGAAGCAAAGAGACUCAUAUGAUGAGAUGGAAGUGUUGGACUAUUUAUAAAACGUUGACAAACUUAUUCAUGUUACUGCAGGUAUAUAAUAGCAAACAUUCUUUGUCCUGAAAGCUACUGUACCGGACACUUUUGGUGGAAAUACAUGAAGGAAAAUGCUAGAGAGAUGAACAUAAACAUCAGGAAGGCUUCCACAUUGUGAUCAACCCUUGUCAACAACGGCAGCUGAACGCGCAAAUGAAAGGCGGAGGUCCACGGCUUAAUUGUUUCACCAUGCCGGACCAAUUUUUCGGCGGUCUCACUUGCAUCAGCAUUCAAGGUUCUCCACAUGAGAUUGCUCAUAGCCUUCUUCAUGGCAGAUCUGUAGGCAUCAGGAAUCAUUCAAGUAGCACAAUGAGCCGGAGAAGACACGAACAUAUGCUCAGGCUUCUCAUGUAACUGCUCUGUUACCAUAAGCAAACUUGUCCUCUUUCUUUCUUUCAUGUGUCACCUCUCAGUAGCAAAAGGCAGGUUUGUAUAGGAUCUGCAAGCAGUAAUGUAACAGCAAACCACAGAAGAAAAAUCACAGAUGAACCUAUUAUGCAAAGCCCAGCCUAAAGCACUCAA